UACGUAGGGUGCGAGCGUUAAUCGGAUUUACUGGGCGUAAAGCGUGCGCAGGCGGCUUGUUAAGCAAGAUGUGAAAUCCCCGGGCUCAACCUAGGAAUUGCGCUUGUGACUGGCGGGCUCGAGUACGGUAGAGGGGGGUGGAAUUCCUGGUGUAGCAGUGAAAUGCGUAGAGAUCAGGAGGAACACCGAUGGCGAAGGCAGCCCCCUGGGCCUGUACUGACGCUCAUGCACGAAAGCGUGGGGAGCAAACAGG
rnacentral:rRNA from 1 species